UCAAACUUGGUCAUUUAGAGGAAGUAAAAGUCGUAACAAGGUUUCCGUAGGUGAACCUGCGGAAGGAUCAUCAUCGUGUUCACGCUGGCGCUGGUGGGGGUGGGGCUUCCCUCCUCCGUCUAGCCUGCCAGCGGAUCCCUCAUCGGAUCAUCCUCAUCCAUGUGUUGUUGACCUCAUGCUUGGCAGGAUUCCUUAUCGUGGCUGUCGUGAGAGACGGUCGAGAGAGAGGACCUGCCAAUCGUUUUUAUCUCAAUUUAUAUUAUUAUUUCCAUGUGUAAAAAAGGUGUUGCGCUGUUAUGCGUAACCAGAAUUUCACACAACUGUCAGCAACGGAUCACUCGGUUCUCGCAUCGAUGAAGAACGCAGC
rnacentral:misc_RNA from 1 species